rnacentral:rRNA from 1 species
GACGAACGCUGGCGGCGUGCCUAACACAUGCAAGUCGAGCGGAGUCGAUCGACGGAAGCCUUCGGGCGGAAGAUGGUUGACUUAGCGGCGGAUGGGUGAGUAACGCGUGGGCAACCUGCCUCGAAGACCGGGAUAACAGCCCGAAAGGGCUGCUAAUACCGGAUGUGGUCAAGGAUCCGCAUGGAUUUUUGAUUAAAGGGGAAACCCGUUUCGAGAUGGGCCCGCGUCCUAUCAGCUAGUUGGUGAGGUAAAAGCUCACCAAGGCGACGACGGGUAGCCGGCCUGAGAGGGUGACCGGCCACACUGGAACUGAGACACGGUCCAGACUCCUACGGGGGGCAGCAGUGGGGAAUCUUCCACAAUGGGCGAAAGUCUGAUGGAGCGACGCCGCGUGAGCGAAGAAGGCCUCGGUUGUAAAGCUCUGUCUGGAGGGACGAAGGAAGUGACGGUACCUCCGGAGGAAGCCACGGCUAACUACGUG